GUAAUACCGGAUGCUCCGCUCCAUCGCAUGGUGGGGUGGGAAAUGCUUUUGCGGCAUGGGAUGGGGUCGCGUCCUAUCAGCUUGUUGGCGGGGUGAUGGCCCACCAAGGCGUUGACGGGUAGCCGGCCUGAGAGGGUGACCGGCCACAUUGGGACUGAGAUACGGCCCAGACUCCUACGGGAGGCAGCAGUGGGGAAUAUUGCACAAUGGGCGCAAGCCUGAUGCAGCGACGCCGCGUGCGGGAUGGAGGCCUUCGGGUUGUAAACCGCUUUUGUUCAAGGGCAAGGCACGGUUUCGGCCGUGUUGAGUGGAUUGUUCGAAUAAGCACCGGCUAACUACGUGCCAGCAGCCGCGGUAAUACGUAGGGUGCGAGCGUUAUCCGGAUUUAUUGGGCGUAAAGGGCUCGUAGGCGGUUCGUCGCGUCCGGUGUGAAAGUCCAUCGCCUAACGGUGGAUCUGCGCCGGGUACGGGCGGGCUGGAGUGCGGUAGGGGAGACUGGAAUUCCCGGUGUAACGGUGGAAUGUGUAGAUAUCGGAAAAGAAAC
rnacentral:rRNA from 1 species